rnacentral:rRNA from 1 species
UACGUAGGGUGCAAGCGUUAUCCGGAAUUAUUGGGCGUAAAGAGCUCGUAGGCGGUUUGUCGCGUCUGCUGUGAAAACUGGAGGCUCAACCUCCAGCCUGCAGUGGGUACGGGCAAACUAGAGUGCGGUAGGGGAGAUUGGAAUUCCUGGUGUAGCGGUGAAAUGCGCAGAUAUCAGGAGGAACACCGGUGGCGAAGGCGGAUCUCUGGGCCGAUACUGACGCUGAGGAGCGAAAGCGUGGGGAGCGAACAGG